AAUCGAUUAGUUUGUCUGAAAUUUUUACCUCUUGUAGUUUGUACCUACUAAGAAUGAAAAGUUCACCAAAUUUGAAUCUUCUCGGACUUAGCAUUCGCGAGAAAUGCCACAUCAAAUUUAUCAUUUCGACCUAAUUCUGGCUUAAACGCGAAUUGUUUU